UACAGAGGGGGCAAGCGUUGUCCGGAAUCACUGGGCGUAAAGGGCGCGUAGGCGGCCUGAUAAGUAGGGGGUGAAAUCCUGCGGCUUAACCGCAGGGCUGCCUUCUAAACUGUCAGGCUCGAGCACAGUAGAGGCAGGUGGAAUUCCCGGUGUAGCGGUGGAAUGCGUAGAGAUCGGGAAGAACAUCAGUGGCGAAGGCGGCCUGCUGGGCUGUUGCUGACGCUGAGGCGCGACAGCGUGGGGAGCAAACAGG
rnacentral:rRNA from 1 species